AUUGAACGCUGGCGGCAUGCUUUACACAUGCAAGUCGAACGGUAACAGGCCGCAAGGUGCUGACGAGUGGCGAACGGGUGAGUAAUGCAUCGGAACGUGCCCAGUCGUGGGGGAUAACGCAGCGAAAGCUGCGCUAAUACCGCAUACGAUCUCUGGAUGAAAGCGGGGGACCGAAAGGCCUCGCGCGAUUGGAGCGGCCGAUGUCAGAUUAGGUAGUUGGUGGGGUAAAGGCUCACCAAGCCAACGAUCUGUAGCUGGUCUGAGAGGACGACCAGCCACACUGGGACUGAGACACGGCCCAGACUCCUACGGGAGGCAGCAGUGGGGAAUUUUGGACAAUGGGCGCAAGCCUGAUCCAGCAAUGCCGCGUGCAGGAAGAAGGCCUUCGGGUUGUAAACUGCUUUUGUACGGAACGAAACGGUCCUGGUUAAUACCUGGGGCUAAUGACGGUACCGUAAGAAUAAGCACCGGCUAACUACGUGCCAGCCGCCGCCGUAAAAC
rnacentral:rRNA from 1 species